rnacentral:rRNA from 1 species
UACGUAGGGGGCUAGCGUUGUCCGGAAUCAUUGGGCGUAAAGAGCGUGUAGGCGGUCCGGUAAGUCCGCUGUGAAAGUCGGGGGCUCAACCCUCGAAUGCCGAUGGAUACUGUCGGGCUAGAGUGCGGAAGAGGCGAGUGGAAUUCCUGGUGUAGCGGUGAAAUGCGCAGAUAUCAGGAGGAACACCUAUUGCGAAGGCAGCUCGCUGGGACGUAACUGACGCUGAGACGCGAAAGCGUGGGGAGCAAACAGG